rnacentral:misc_RNA from 1 species
ACCUUAUCUAGGGUUUCACUGAACACUCUCUGUAUCCACUGAUCAAGCAUAAGCAGCAAAUAAUUCUCUAAUACUGAAGAAUAUAUGUAAAUUACUUGAUUAACGAACACUAAUUAUCCAAAAAAGGCCCGAAAUUUGCCAUGGAAGACGACCAGGAGUACGAUCAGCCUCUAAAUGAGGAGGAAGAAGACGAUGAUGAGAUCACGCAGGAGGACGCAUGGGCUGUCAUCUCUGCCUAUUUUGAAGAGAAAGGUCUGGUGCGUCAACAGCUUGAUUCAUUCGAUGAGUUUAUUCAGAAUACGAUGCAGGAAAUCGUCGAUGAGUCGGCUGAUAUUGAGAUUCGUCCCGAGAGCCAGCACAACCCUGGCCACCAGUCUGAUUUCGCUGAGGUACCAGAAAUUUUUGUUUAAGGAGAGGAUUUUUGGGAGCUGUGGUUUGUUUUCUUUGGACAGGUUUUUUGGUUCUAGGGUUUCUAGGGCCUCACUGGAAGCGUUUCCUUGUAAAUUAGUUGGCUUAGAAAUAUUUUUGCUCUCAAAUUUUCUAGUCGGUAUGGGCAUACUUGUCCAUAACUAGAACGAAUUACCUGUUUGUUUAUAAGUUGUGGAAAGGUUUAAAUUACUUCAAAUGCUUGGAGUGUCUGGGUGGAUAAAUGUUCGUUCUUGAAAUUUUGGAAAAUGAUAACUUAGUAAAG